UUAUUAGCCUAAUACCACUUAUGUUAAGCCUGACCUAAACUUCUCACUUCAGGAAGCUAAAGAAGGUUUUGUGUUUUCUUGGUCCGGCCUCCUUGAUCAUUGUUGUCUAUAAGCAAAGAUUUUCUAAUUAAGAUACCACAAAAGCUUGGGGUUAGAGAAAAUAAACUUUAAGUUAGAAAGGGUUAAGAGGAAGUUGGUCACA
rnacentral:lncRNA from 1 species